UGGGGAAUAUUGCACAAUGGGCGCAAGCCUGAUGCAGCCAUGCCGCGUGUGUGAAGAAGGCCUUCGGGUUGUAAAGCACUUUCAGCGGGGAGGAAGGCGAUAAGGUUAAUAACCUUGUCGAUUGACGUUACCCGCAGAAGAAGCACCGGCUAACUCCGUGCCAGCAGCCGCGGUAAUACGGAGGGUGCAAGCGUUAAUCGGAAUUACUGGGCGUAAAGCGCACGCAGGCGGUCUGUCAAGUCGGAUGUGAAAUCCCCGGGCUUAACCUGGGAACUGCAUUCGAAACUGGCAGGCUAGAGUCUUGUAGAGGGGGGUAGAAUUCCAGGUGUAGCGAUGAAAUGCGUAGAGAUCUGGAGGAAUACCGGUGGCGAAGGCGGCCCCCUGGACAAAGACUGACGCUCAGGUGCGAAAGCGUGGGGAGCAAACAGG
rnacentral:rRNA from 1 species